rnacentral:rRNA from 1 species
AACGAACGCUGGCGGCAGGCUUAACACAUGCAAGUCGAACGAGACCUUCGGGUCUAGUGGCGCACGGGUGCGUAACGCGUGGGAAUCUGCCCUUGGGUUCGGAAUAACAGUGAGAAAUUACUGCUAAUACCGGAUGAUGACGAAAGUCCAAAGAUUUAUCGCCCAAGGAUGAGCCCGCGUAGGAUUAGCUAGUUGGUAAG